GAUAUUGCACAAUGGAUGUAACUCUGAUGCAGCGACGCCGCGUGAACGAUUAAGGUCUUCGGAACGUAAAGUUCUGUCCUAUGGGACGAUAAUGACCGUACCCUAGGAGGCAGCCCUGCCCUACUCCGUGCCAGCAGCCGUGGUAAUACGUAGGGGGCGAGCGUUGUCCGGAUUUAUUGGGCGUAAAGGGUACGCAGGCGGCCAUGUAAGUCAGAUGUGAAAGGUCACGGCUCAACCGUGGUAAGCAUUUGAAACUGUGUAGCUUGAGUUAAGGAGAGGAAAGUGGAAUUCCUGGUGUAGCGGUGAAAUGCGUAGAUAUCAGGAGGAAUAUCAGUGGCGAAGGCGACUUUCUGGACUUAUACUGACGCUGAGGUACGAAAGCGUGGGGAGCAAACA
rnacentral:rRNA from 1 species